rnacentral:rRNA from 1 species
CAGUCGCCACGGUAAUACGAAGGUCCCGAGCGUUGUUCGGAAUCACUGGGCGUAAAGGGAGCGUAGGCGGCGUGGUAAGUCAGAUGUGAAAUCCCGGGGCUCAACCCCGGAACUGCAUCCGAUACUGCCAUGCUAGAGGAUUGGAGAGGUAGCUGGAAUUCUUGGUGUAGCAGUGAAAUGCGUGGAGAUCAAGAGGAACACUCGUGGCGAAAGCGAGCCACUGGACAAUAACUGACGCUGAGGCUCGAAGGCCAGGGUAGCGAAAGGGAUUAGAUACCCCCGUAGUCCCUGUCUCUUAUAC